AUACAAAACAACAGAUAUAGAUUCGGAUAGGUAAUAUGAUAU
rnacentral:guide_RNA from 1 species